rnacentral:rRNA from 1 species
UACGGGGGGAGCAAGCGUUGUUCGGAUUUACUGGGCGUAAAGGGCGCGUAGGCGGCCACCGCAAGUCGACUGUGAAAUCUCCGGGCUUAACCCGGAAAGGUCAGCCGAUACUGCAGGGCUAGAGUGCAGAAGGGGCAACUGGAAUUCUCGGUGUAGCGGUGUAAUGCGUAGAUAUCGAGAGGAACACCUGCGGCGAAGGCGGGUUGCUGGGCUGACACUGACGCUGAAGUGCGAAAGCUAGGGGAGCGAACGGG